UUCAUUCUUUAAUCACUGUUUGAUAAUGCAUUAGUAAGGGCCUACUAAGUACAACAUCUGGGUGCAAUGAAGUGAACUGCCAAUGGAAGUUUCAUUUCACAAAGCUGUCUUUUUCAAGGUUAUGCCUUCUUUUGAGUCGAAAUAUUGAUGGAAGGCGGGAGAAAGGAGGUCAACAACAGUGUCACCCUUGGAAAUUAUUUGGAUCAAAAACUCCAAUUGGAGAUGAAUGAUUGGUUUCUUUUUCUUGAUGGGUUAGAGAUGGAGAAAGAGGUAGAUUUCUGGAGGUGGAGAUUUUUG
rnacentral:misc_RNA from 1 species